CCACCUUCAUUUUCCUCAAUUAAAACCAAAGGAGCGCGUAUUGCAUUUUAGUGCGCUGAACAGUAUUCUCUGCUCUGCUCAUCAAGAUCCGAACCGACCUUCACUACAACGCCGCUCUUUGCUCAUCUCAAUGACUAAAUCCUCUCCGCCACCUACGCCUAGCGUUUCUCGGAGUUCAUCACCGGUGUCAAGAAAGAAAUCAACAGUUGCGUGGAGUCGCCGAUCGAUGAUCUACGAAUCUCAAUCACCGAGACGAGCUCGUCUCGCUUUGUGAAACUCGUUAGGGUUUCCAAUUGUUGGUACCGUAUCGGCCAGAAGAUGAUCGACGGAUCUGACGCAGUUUCAAAGAUGGCGUUCGAGUCGAAUGGGCCAGAAGUUUUAGGAGUCCGAUUGCAAGAGGAUAAGGAGACUAGGAAUUCGAUUCUCUCCGUCUUCAGGAAGAUGCGGAACUCGUUAAUGGCGAGGUCAUUUGGUUAUUGCAGUGGAGAAAUUCUGUAGGCCGUGGCCUCGAGUUCGCCUGAGGCAUCCAAGUUGUUUGGUGGUUUCAGUGGGACGGUUGCGGAUAGCAAUGGGAAGAGGUUCGCGCGGGAGCUUCAUUUGUGGUUUUGCAAUUGGUGCAGUUGUCGAUCUUCAUAAUGCAGACGGAGGACGAUGACGAAGAAGGUGAGAGACUGAAGACUCCAAAAUUCAUAUGAUGAUGAUGAUGAGGAAAAAAAAGAAAGCAAAAGAGGAAAUUUUGGAGAUGGGACGGAAUAGAGGAAAUAUUGAGAAUGUAGGCCCAAAAUAUUGCGCCCUGGUCCUACCCACGGCUCAAUAAGUUGGACACAGCCCAGAAAUCGGCCCAAUAAUCGGAAAAUAGGUAUAAAGUCAGCCCAAAUAAUGUACAUACGUCGGCCCAAUUAAAUAAAUGUCAGCCCUAUAAAGUGAAAACAGGCCCAAUGAUAAGAAACAGGCCCAAAGAUGGCCCAGUAAUGUGAAAACAGGCCCAAAGAUGGCCCAGUAAUGUGAAAA